rnacentral:tRNA from 1 species
AGCGCCAUCGCCAAACGGUAAGGCAACGGACUCUGACUCCGUCAUCUCAAGGUUCGAAUCCUUGUGGCGCUGCGA